CGAGCGGACAGAUGGGAGCUUGCUCCCUGAUGUUAGCGGCGGACGGGUGAGUAACACGUGGGUAACCUGCCUGUAAGACUGGGAUAACUCCGGGAAACCGGGGCUAAUACCGGAUGCUUGUUUGAACCGCAGGGUUCAAACAUAAAAGGUGGCUUCGGCUACCACUUACAGAUGGACCCGCGGCGCAUUAGCUAGUUGGUGAGGUAAUGGCUCACCAAGGCAACGAUGCGUAGCCGACCUGAGAGGGUGAUCGGCCACACUGGGACUGAGACACGGCCCAGACUCCUACGGGAGGCAGCAGUAGGGAAUCUUCCGCAAUGGACGAAAGUCUGACGGAGCAACGCCGCGUGAGUGAUGAAGGUUUUCGGAUCGUAAAGCUCUGUUGUUAGGGAAGAACAAGUACCGUUCGAAUAGGGCGGUACCUUGACGGUACCUAACCAGAAAGCCACGGCUAACUACGUGCCAGCAGCCGCGGUAAUACGUAGGUGGCAAGCGUUGUCCGGAAUUAUUGGGCGUAAAGGGCUCGCAGGCGGUUCCUUAAGUCUGAUGUGAAAGCCCCCGGCUCAACCGGGGAGGGUCAUUGGAAACUGGGGAACUUGAGUGCAGAAGAGGAGAGUGGAAUUCCACGUGUAGCGGUGAAAUGCGUAGAGAUGUGGAGGAACACCAGUGGCGAAGGCGACUCUCUGGUCUGUAACUGACGCUGAGGAGCGAAAGCGUGGGGAGCGAACAGGAUUAGAUACCCUGGUAGUCC
rnacentral:rRNA from 1 species